CCCCUCUCAGGGUUGCACCUGGAGAGUUUCCAGUACUUUACCAGUUUCGACUAUGAGAGAGUCAAGCAGAGGCCUAUCCAUUUCAUUCCUAGCUUGGGCAGUGGCUAGCGAGUGGAAGGUGAUCUGCUACAAGU